CGCAUGCAGGCUCCCGGGCCGGCUGCGGAAGCUGUGGGCCUGGACUGGGGGUAGCAGCAGAGGGGCGGCCAGAUGGGGUCUUGCUCUGUUGUCUAGGCUGGAGUGCAGCGGCAUGAUCUCGGCACACUGCAGCCACCGUCUUCCAGGUUCAAGCGAUUCUCCCACCUCAGCCUCCCGAGGAGCUGGGAUUACAGGAGUUCAGUGGCAUGACCAGGGCUCACUGCAACCUUGAUCUGGGCUCAAGUGAUCCUCCUACCUCAGCUUCCUGAGUAGCUAGGACCACAGGUGUGCACCAACCACACCCGACUAAUUUUUGUAGAGAUGAGAUCCCACUAUGUUACCCAGGCUGGUCUUGAACUCCUGGGCUCAGGUGAUCAUCCUGCCUUGGCUUCCCAAAGUACUGGGAUUAUAGGCUUGAGCCACCGUGCCUGGCCUGUGAUCAGAAUUCUCAUUUUUUUAGUCACUAAAAAUGCUGGGGGGCACUCCAUUCUCCAUUAUGUGAUUAGUUCACAUUGCAUGCUUGUAUCAAAACAUCAUAUAUACCCCACAAAUAUAUACAAAAAACUUUAAAAUUUUAAGUAUUAAUUGCUCAGGAAAAAAUUAAAAUGCUGGGGUGCUGAAAUCUCAAGGGCCCCAUUACAAAACUCCUUAGGAACCUCGCCCUCUCUCUGCUGUAAGGACUGGUUCCAGAAUGAGAGAAUUUAAAAGACAUUCCCCCCCCAAAAUGUUCAUAAUGUCACCCCGGAAACCUGCGAAUAUGUUAUAUUACAUGACCAGGGAGAAGUAAGGUUGCAGAUGGCAGUAAGGUUGCUAAUGGGCUGACCUUAAGAUAAGGAGAUGAUCCUGGAUUAUCUGGGUGGACCCAAUGUAAUCACAAGGGUCCUUAACUGUGGAAUAGUGAGGUGGCUGAGUCAGAGGCAGAGUGAUGCAAUGACUGAAAGACUUAACCAGCCAUCACCGGCUUUGAAUACGGAAGACGGUCAUGAGCCAGGGAAUGCAGGCAGGCUCUGGGAGCUGAAAAAAGCAAGAAAAUGGAUUCUCCCCUGGAGCCUCCAGAAGGGAUGCGGUCCUGCCAACCCCUUGUCAGUGAGCCAUUUCAGAUUUCUGACUUCCAGGACUGUAAGAAAAUAAACUUGUCUUGUUUUCAGCC
rnacentral:lncRNA from 1 species